GGUGCAGUGGCCAAGUGGCAAGACAUCGGUCUUGUAAACUGAAGAUCAUGGGUUUGACCCUCAUCUGGGCCU